CAAUACGAAUAUUUCCCAAAAUCUCUUUUAUCUGAUUCUCUCUUGCAAAGUUUAAUUCCUUAAAAUUACUCAGAAUUGUGUUGUAAACAAGUCACUCAAACUGGUAGGGAUAGGGGAAGUUUUGUUUGUAUGAAUUAGAUUGGAAAUAAAAAUAAAGGUUAUGUAUGUUGGUUUGUGUGUAUGUGGGUUGUAGUUGAGAAAUGAAUUUUCCAGGCUGGUCAUUUGUUUAAGUAUUUUAUUGCUUUUCUUGUAUAGUUUAUCUGUGUUUUAUCUCCCCUCUUCUUUUUUAAGCGCAAUCAAACUACAUUCCAGUCUCUACACUAAUUUAUAUGACACUAAAGCAAUUCUUUUCUGUACUACAGACUGCUUAUUUAUUCAAGCAACCAUUGCUCGUAUACUGAUAGAAAACAUUUUUAGGACUGUUAACUUCAUCUAUAAUUUUUGUUUCUAAUUUUAAUUAAAAAGAUUAAAAAUAAAAUUUAUUUACGUUUUUUUGUGAAAAACACAUUUCAAACAGUUGAGUCUUUGUUGUUGUUGUUGUUUAGCCACAAAUCAACCUUGACCUUGUAGAACUCUCAUUAAAUACAUUCCUGUCGUGAUCAUACCAUUUUCUUCAGACAUAAUUUAUUUAGCACUACUUUAUAUGAAACUAGCAGUAUUUCUUGCCCUUUUUUUUUUUUUUUUUUAAGUUGGUAGAAUGUUAGUUGAGAGAGAAUUAACUGUUAUUUUUAGCAGAUCACACCACCAUGUAGAGGUUCUUGCAUUAACUUCAGUUUAAGUCUGUGUUGUCAGGGAACACGGGUACAUUUGUUCAGGUUGAAAUUGAAAUCACUAAGCCUGGUUUCAUGCGACAUUUUAGCAGUCUUCUUAUCCUCCAUGUCAUAGACAUCAUCAUCAUCAUCAUCCAUUAACAUCUGUUUUUCCAUGCUGGCAUGGGUGGGAUGGUUUGACGAGAGCUGCACCAAGUUCCAGUCUGAUUUGGCUUGGUUUCUACCGUUGGCUGUUUCUAACGUAGCAACUGGCAUGAGUGCUCUCUUGUUGUGCCGUCACGGGUGCUUUUUAUGUGGCACUGGUACGGGGCUCUUGCAGGCCAAUCCCCUUCAUUAGAGGAAGCGGCAUUAACACUGCUGCAGUGGACGGCUGGUCUUCUUGAGUGUGAUAUGAUAAGAAACACAAACUAAACCAUUUGAAGUGUGUUGUACUGUCUGUAAUCUCUCUCUGUCUCUCUCCUUCUGGAUGUCUGUCUUUUUCUCCAGUUGUCUAUGUAUUUGUCUGUUUUCUCCCUGACUUGUAUGUCUCUUUUUCCAUCCAGCUGCCUGUGUCUCUGUCUGCCAUCCUUCUCUUUAACUCCCUCCUCUCCUUCUCCAAAUAAACAAAACCUAGUUAAUAGCUUGAUGUCUUCUCUCAUUCCAUAUAAUCAUCUCAUGUUACGUUGCACAUUUAGAAAUGAAAAAUCUCAAUAAUAAGAAACCUUUACUUAGUGAAUGAGCCAUUUCUUUUUUUUUGCCCA